UACGUAGGGGGCAAGCGUUGUCCGGAAUCAUUGGGCGUAAAGCGCGUGUAGGCGGCUCGGUAAGUCUGCUCUGAAAGUCCAAGGCUCAACCUUGGGAUGCGGGUGGAUACUGCCGGGCUCGAGUCCGGAAGAGGCGAGUGGAAUUCCUGGUGUAGCGGUGAAAUGCGUAGAUGUCUGGAGGAACACCGGUGGCGAAGGCGGCAUCCUGGACCGGUAUUGACGCUGAGGCGCGAAAGCCAGGGGAGCAAACGGG
rnacentral:rRNA from 1 species